GGGCUCGUAGCUCAGUGGUAGAGCGCUACUCUUAUAAAGUAGAUGUCGAUGGUUCGAAUCCAUCCGGGCCCACCA
rnacentral:tRNA from 4 species